GACGAACGCUGGCGGCGUGCUUAACACAUGCAAGUGGAGCGACGAACCAGUGCUUGCCCUGGGGCAGCGCCGCGAACGGGUGAGUAACACGUGGGUAACGUGCCCCGAUGACUGUGACAACCCGGGGAAACCCGGGCUAAUACCCGAUGUGCCCCCUCACAUCAGUUAGGUGUGUAUAGGAAGCUUCGGCCUCCGCUUCGGGUUCGGCCAGCGGCCCAUUGGCUUGUUGGUUAGGUAACGUCCCACCAAGUCUGCGAUGGGUAGCUUGUCUGAGAGGACGAUCAGCCACACUGGGACUGAGACACGGACCAGACGCCUAAGGGAGGAAGCAGUGGGGAAUCUGGCGCAAUGGGCGAAAGCGUGACGCAGCAACGCCGCGUGGGGGAAGACGGCCUUCGGGUUGUAAACCCCUUUCAGUUGGGACGAAGGUCGGGCGGUUAAGAGCCGUUGCGAGUGACGGUACCUUCACAAGAAGCACCGGCUAACUACGUG
rnacentral:rRNA from 1 species